CCGCCUAGUCGGCCGACUGCAUAAUGUCCACCUAAACGCUAUAAUUCGCCCGAAUUAUAUAAAUCCGCAUAAAACACUGUAUAAUAUAAAAACAGUACGGUUGGCUACCAUAUAACGCCUAAUCGCCGACUAGACCGUAUUUUAGAACACUGAUCUCUUCUCUUGCAUAAUUUACUUAGCUCAGAAACUGCUGAAAAAUGCCUCGCUUAGCCACCUGAAGCUGCAACACUCGACUCUUGUUUUGCUUGUUCUCUCUCAGCCUAUGCUAGUUCCAGUUUUAGCUCUGCAAUGACACUCCAUCACGACCUGCUGUUGCGCUUCUUACCGCCUGUUUCUUGUACUCAUCCUAUCGUAUCUCUUGAUCCAACGUCUGAAGUCCCUGUAAACAAUCAAUCAUAUUAACUCAAAAGCGCAUCAGAGUUCCACCAUCUACAACAAUCGAGAACAAAAUUGAAUAGGAUACGAUGUGAUUAAGUAAAAGGAACGAAAUAAAAAUUAAUCAAAGCACCAAAGAGGCUUAAUCGAAUCAGUAAGACCACACAAAUCUGAGAAGAACUUAAAAAAAAAAAGAGUCACAGGAUAGCAAGAGGAAUCUAUCUUAACCAGUCUGUUGUGUUCAGCGGUUACAUCGGAGUUUUAGAAAGGUUACGUUUUCGCAGCGACGAUGAAGAUGAAUGGUCUGCGGAGGAGAUGUAGUAGAUACGUGUACAAUUUUAAAAGAGUGAUUGCGGUUAUUGGGAGAUUUGUAAUUUUUAAAAUGACCGAAACACCGUCGUUUUAAGAAUUUGCUCAAACCAGUUUCUUAUGUGCCAGCCACAUCAGCAAUCAGGGGCGUAACUAGCGAUUAUUUUAGUAUGGGGCACUUAAUUUAAAUCAUAUUAACAACAAG
rnacentral:lncRNA from 1 species